rnacentral:misc_RNA from 1 species
GAUGAAGAACGUAGCGAAAUGCGAUAAGUAAUGUGAAUUGCAGAAUUCAGUGAAUCAUCGAAUCUUUGAACGCACAUUGCGCCCGCCUGUAUUCUGGCGAGCAUGCCUGUUCGAGCGUCAUUUCAACCAUCAAGCCCCAGGCUUGUGUUGGAGCCCUGCGGCUGCCGCAGCCUCCCAAAACCAGUGGCGGGCUCGCUAUCACACCGAGUGCAGUAGUUUACUCUUCGCUCAGGGCGUGUGGCGGGUGCUAGCCGUGAAACCCCCAACUUCUCAAGGUUGACCUCGGAUCAGGUAGGAAUACCCGCUGAACUUAAGCAUAUCAAUAAGCGGAGGA